rnacentral:rRNA from 1 species
GUUCUCCUACGGGGCGCAGCAGUCGGGAAUAUUGCGCAAUGGAGGAAACUCUGACGCAGUGACGCCGCGUAUAGGAAGAAGUUUUUCGGAAUGUAAACUAUUGUCGUUAGGGAAGAGAAAGGACAGUACCUAAGGAGGAAGCUCCGGCUAACUACGUGCCAGCAGCCGCGGUAAUACGUAGGGAGCGAGCGUUAUUCGGAAUUACUGGGCGUAAAGGGUGCGUAGGUGGUUUCUUAAGUCAGAGGUGAAAGGCUACGGCUCAACCGUAGUAAGCCUUUGAAACUGGGGAACUUGAGUGCAGGAGG